rnacentral:lncRNA from 1 species
CAGAACCACAGAGCCUUUUCUGGACAUAGCGUCUGGGAUUGGAGGCGCUUGUUCCCAGCGUCUGGAAUCUGUCUUCACGAUGCAGUGAACCACUCAGGCCCCAGCAGCGGUGGCAGGCGACAGAGCAGGGCCACUAAGAGCAGGUUUGAGAGUGAAGAGGACUGGUGCAAUGGGUAGAAAGCAGGCCUAUCCCAAGCAUAUGGAACAAACUAAGUCAGGCAGCCACUACUGUAUCAAAGUCACACCAGUUAGCUGGUAUUCAGAGUUUUGGAGCUUCUGCUCCCACUGCUGCAGCCACAUCCCUGAAAGCCUCACACCCACAAAGCUGGAGCCUAGAAAGGGAAAGGCUGAGGCCAGCCAUGUCAACCUGCAGCCAGAGCACGCCUGUCAGGAAGACAGCCCCCUCUUCUUCUGCCUCCCCACUCUGUUCAAGGACUUCUCAUCAGCAGGACCUGAUUCAUGUCCAGACCCCUCCCUGCAACUGAGACUGGAAAUAUCACUGAUAGUUUUUCAUCCUUUCCACAAAGAAGGAAGAUGAAAUGCAAGUUCUACCAUCAUCUCCUUUUCCAGGCUAUUCGGCCUUGAUUUCACACUGAAAAAUAGGUCUCUGCUCUGUCAAAACUCUAAAAAAUGUGAGGUAUUGAGACUUCCCAAAUCUCUUCAAGAUUGUCUGAAUGAUAUCUGGAAAGUCUGACCCAGGACUAUUCACUUUUUCUACCUGUUGUUAAAUGCUGGUCCCAAUUCUAUUUCCAGUAAGAAGGAGGCAAAAAUGAUGAAGAGAAACUUGAAAAUGAGAACAUUUUGAUCUUGCUCUUGAGGAUUAUUCUGGUCCUGCUGAUGCCGGGCAGGAGAGCCCCAAAGUGGAGCUUAGCCCAUGAGGGCUCUUGGCUUUCCCCAGGAAAGAAUUCAAGGGCAACCCAGAGGUAGAAGAAAACAGCUUUAUUGAACAGGUAGUGUUACAGCUUCGGUGGUGUUCCAGCCCUGUGACUGUUCCUGCAAAGCAAAGCCACCCCUAGGCAGAGAGUAGCAGCUCAGGGCAGUUUUGCAGUCAUAUUUACAACCACUUUUAAUUGUAUGCAGAUUAAGGGGUGGCUUAUGCAGAAAUUUCUAGGGAAGGGGUAGUAGCUUUUGGAUCAUUGGGUCAUUUAUCCUGGAAAGGAGCAGUAACUCCCGGGCGUUGCCAUGGCAAUGGUAAACUGACAUGGCACACUGGUGGGCCUGUCUGAUUGAAAACUGCUUCUGCCCCAGCUAUUUUUAGCUAGUCCUCAAUCUGGUCCAGUGUCCAAGCCCUGCCUCUGUUGUCAAGUUUCACCUCCUACCUCACUGCCUUCAACAGUCUUUAAAAAUGUAAGAGUUAGGUCUCCAGAAAAGGAGACAAUGUGUUUUCUAGAUUGAUUUUCAAUUACUAUGUUUUCCAAACAUAGGCAAGAUCUACCUGAGAUAUCCAUGAGAGUGGAUAUGUGAAAAAUGUGCAAACCCCUUCAGCUCAGGUGACCACACAGUCCCUGGUCACCUCCCAUAAUCUCAAGCUUUUACAUCAAUAAAAACUAGUUCUUCA